rnacentral:rRNA from 1 species
CGCCCAUUAAUAUAUUAACCAAUCUAUUAACCUUAAGAAAAAUUCUUAAAUAAAACAGUAUUAUUUUAUAACUUCAUACCAUCAAUAACCGCAAGGGUUUUCAACUUCGCCCACCACAGAAAAGAUAAUCACUUGUCCCUUUUGCAUUAUGGAGGAGCAACAAACCUUAAUUUUUUACCCUUCCCGAAUAGCCAUGAGCUACUAAACCCUAAAGCUUAAUGUUUCAUAAUUAACACAUUAGCUUUUAGUAGAAGUAACAAGCCUUACAUAUGACUAGAUAACUGGUUUUUCGCAAAAAGUAUCAAAGUACUGCUUUAUAGUAAGUAAACACUCUUAACUACCUAUAAACGUCAACCUUUUAAGGAUUAGCCUAAAAGGGGAAUUAAAAUAUCUUAUCAACCCAACCUCUUAAGUAGGCUUAAGAGCAGCCAUCUAAAUAGCGUUCUAGCUAAUAAAUUUCGAUAUACUAACAUUAAAUCUAAAAUUUUAACUAAAGCGAAAUCUAGUAUUAAACAACUUUACUAUCAAACAGGCAUCCUAUUAGUAUUAACCAAACCUAAUUAUUAAACAUAUUAAUAAAACUGAUUCACAAUCUUUAUUACCAAACCAAAUUAUGUAAAGCGAACUCGGCAAUAAAAUCCCCUGCCUGUUUACCAAAAACAUCGUCUUUUGUCUACUCCUAUAAAAGAUAAUGCCUGCCCAGUGAGAACCUUUCUUAAACGGCCGCGUUAGCGUGAGCGUGCUAAGGUAGCGCAAUAAAUAGCCUUUUAAUUGGAGGCCAGUCAAUGGCAAAACUAGGGAUAUCUGUACCUUACAUAAUAAAAAAACUUUUCAUUUGAGUGAAAAGACUUAAAUAACAAAGGAAGACGAAAAGACCCCGCGGAACUUUACCUUUUCUAGUUACUCACAUGCUUAAAAACAUAACAAACAUAAGGUUUGAUUGGGGCAAUCUCGGAACCAACCAAACUUCCGAUUAACAGCACAAAAGCAUAGAAAGCUCAAUAAGAACCAAAAAGAAGUUACCCCGGGGAUAACAGCGUAAUCUAACUUGAGAGUACACAUCGAAAGUUGGGUUUGCGACCUCGAUGUUGGCUUAAGGAUAUCCAUAUAAGUGCAACCGCUAUGACAGGAUAGUCUGUUCGACUAUUAUACCCUUACACGAGCUGAGUUAAGACCGGCGCAAGCUAGGUUGGUUUCUAUCUCCUUUAUUCACAAGUUUUCUUGAUUGUACGAAAGGACCCCAAGAAAUGCACAACAAGCAUCAUUAAGUUAACUAAUAAUAAAACUAACUCUUCACCCACUUU